GACGUAGGGGGCAAGCGUUUGUCCGGAAUCAUUGGGCGUAAAGGGUGCGUAGGCGGUUCCGCAAGUCCUGUGUGAAAUCUUCGGGCUCAACUCGAAGUCUGCACGGGAAACUGCGGGGCUUGAGUGUGGGAGAGGUGAGUGGAAUUCCCCGGGUGUAGCGGUGAAAUGCGUAGAUAUCGGGAGGAACACCUGUGGCGAAAGCGGCUCACUGGACCUAACUGACGCUGAUGCACGAAAGCUGGGGGGAGCAAACAGG
rnacentral:rRNA from 1 species